ensembl:snoRNA
UACUGAGCAGCCUUUACCUCUCUGCGCAGGGCUCCAGGGAGCCAGGGGAGACACUGCCAAGGAAGCUGAAGCA